UCGCAAAUUUCAGUCAGACUGAAUAAUCAAAUUUGCAUAACCGCUUUUGCAACGAUUCGCACCACUAUCAAAUCGUGAUAAAACCGGGCAUGCGAGCAGGUGUGGUGCGCAUUCUUGAACGUUGUUCGCCGUUGCUAAGCGACCCACACGGUUUUAAAUGUAAACACGAGUUAGCCAACACUUGACGUUUUUAGCGUUCAUAACGCGAGUGAAAAUGUCAUUUAAAGACUUGAGAAAUUUUACCGAGAUGAUGAGGGUCCUCGGAUACCCGAGGUUAAUAUCUUUGGCAAAUUUCCGGGUUCCAAAUUUUCCUCUUGUUGCCGAAAUACUUAUUUGGCUCGUCAAGAGAUUUGAUCCUGACGCCGAUAUUCCCAGCGAACACAGUUCGGAGCAAGAGCGAGUUGCCCUAGUUAGAAGAACUGCUGAAUUUAUGGCGAUUAAAGCAAACAUCAAAUUGAACACAAAGAAAAUUUAUCAAGCUGAUGGUUACGCGGUGAAAGAAUUAUUGAAAAUAACCACGUUACUUUAUGAAGCACAAACUCGCAGCACGGAGAAAGCAAUUUUAUUGGGAGAUAAUCUCCAAAGUGGUACAAAUUUUGACAUUUCUGGAAGGAUCAAUGAACUGAAAACAACGAGACAGCUGGCCAGUCAGCUAACCAUCAACGGAGCAACGCUCUUUGACCUUUUGGGAAGAGAAGUUGACUUGCGAGAAAUUAGAAACAAUAAAAUGUCCAGACAGUUCGAUUCCUCAGAGAUUGAAUUGGCUAUGAAAGAAGUGAUCGAGAGUAUCAAGAUGGAGAUAAGCGACACCAAGAAACAGAUAGAGAAUAUCAAAGACACCGAACAAAGUUUAGAUGCCAAAAUUGAAAGGCGACGAACAGAGCUUGAUCGCAAUCAAAAGCGACUUCAAACUCUCAGAAAAGUUCGCCCAGCGUUCAUGGAAGAAUUUGAAAAACUCGAAGUCGAACUCAAGGGUCUGUAUGACAUUUAUCUACAGAAAUUUCGAUAUCUCGCCUACUUAGAACAUCUUCACGAAGACGCCGCCAAGGCUGAACAAGAAAGAUUUGAAAGAAGGCAAGCGGCGACAAAGAAGCAGCUCGAACAAUUGAGAGGGGAAGACGUGACCCUGGAAGGUCUUUUGGAAGGAAGUGACUCGAUAUUUAAUUCAAACCAGGAAACGAUUGGGCAUGGUUUAGGCGAUAAUGAAAAGCAGUUGCAGGAGCGAAUAGGUCAGGGAGUCAGAAUCAGGACUGGAAUGGGGGGGUCCUCGCGAGCCCAGACAUUGCAGCGUCGCGUUUACGGAAGCAUGUCCGGUCGCCAACGUGCUGGAAUGGGUACCGCGUUGGAUCUGAACGAUAGCGUUGGAUCCCUGGACAGCGACAGCGAUCUCUUCAUCGACGGAGAUCUCGAUGACGAUGACGAGUUGAUUAAUUCUGACGGAGAGCUUGAACUGACGGGGUUACAUGCUAAAAAUAAUCAGGAGAAACGUGCCGUCAGUAAAAUCGAUCACUCCGAUGAGGAUUUCUAAUAGGUUUCUGGUUUUUGCGGUCGCGUGCAACAGCGUCGCGAACGGACGACGGAACGUUGCAUUUUGAGAUGCGGAUAAUAACCGAACCUCGACAUCUCUGUGCGUGUGCUUCGAUAAUUAUUUUCGAAAAGAGAAAAGGAAUGUGGAUUCGAAGAGUGACGUUCCACCUGCGGCGGAAGGAAGACAGAUCUACGAGGACGAAAAUGGAGAGACAAAGAAAAUCCGAA
rnacentral:misc_RNA from 1 species